UGUUAAAAAUUUUAUUAGUUUCUUCUAUUAAAUGCUGGCGUGGUUGACGGAAUAAUCAAAUAAUUACAUGUGACGUGCUACGUGUAUCUCAUGUUGAUGUAUAAUGAGCAGUUUUUAAUAGUAGAAUUGAUGGAAAUUUUAGCA
rfam:Gossypium hirsutum cultivar TM-1 unplaced genomic scaffold scaffold1463.1, whole genome shotgun sequence